rnacentral:rRNA from 1 species
GGUCAAGUUAUUAAGGGUGCAGGGCGGAUGCCUUGGCACUAGGAGCCGAUGAAGGACGUGAUAAGCUGCGAUAAGCUUCGGGGAGUUGCACGUAAACUUUGAUCCGAAGAUUUCCGAAUGAGGAAACUCACUUAGAGUAAUGUCUAAGUAUCAUUAAGUGAAUACAUAGCUUAAUGAGGGGAACUCAGGGAACUGAAACAUCUAAGUACCUGAAGGAAGAGAAAGAAAUUCGAUUCCGUAAGUAGCGGCGAGCGAACGCGGAUUAGCCCAAACCAAUAAAGUUUUCUUUAUUGGGGUUGCGGACAUAUCAUAACGAAGAGGUAUCGUAAUUGAAGAGGUUUGGAAAGACCCACCACAGAAGGUAAUAGUCCUGUAUGUUAAACGAGAAGACUUUAGAUAUGAUCCAGAGUACCACGGGACACGUGAAACCCUGUGGGAAGCAGGAGGGACCACCCUCCAAGGCUAAAUACUACCUAGUGACCGAUAGCGUAUAGUACCGUGAGGGAAAGGUGAAAAGAACCCCGGGAGGGGAGUGAAAUAGAACCUGAAACCCUGCACUUACAAGCUGUGGAAGCACAUUUCUUGUGUGACCGCGUACUUUUUGUAGAACGGGCCAACGAGUUACGUUAAGUAGCAAGGUUAAGCACUUAAGGUGCGGAGCCGUAGCGAAAGCGAGUUUUAACUGAGCGUUCAGUUACUUGACGUAGACCCGAAACCGGGCGACCUACCCAUGAGCAGGAUGAAGCGAAAGUAAAAUUUCGUGGAGGUCCGAACCCACGAGCGUUGAAAAGCUCGGGGAUGACUUGUGGGUAGCGGUGAAAUUCCAAUCGAGCCCGGAGAUAGCUGGUUCUCCCCGAAAUAGCUUUAGGGCUAGCCUCAAGGUGAGAGAUACGGAGGUAGAGCACUGAAUGUCCUAGGGGGUAUUGCACCUACCGAAGACUAUCAAACUCCGAAUGCCGUCAUCUUAUACUUGGGAGUCAGACUGUGGGUGAUAAGAUUCAUAGUCGAAAGGGCAACAGCCCAGAUCGUCAGCUAAGGUCCCUAAAUGUAAGUUAAGUGGUAAAGGAUGUGGGAUUGCACAGACAACCAGGAUGUUGGCUUAGAAGCAGCCACUCAUUCAAAGAGUGCGUAAUAGCUCACUGGUCGAGUGAUCCUGCGCCGAAGAUUUCCGGGGCUAAAACUUACUACCGAAGCUACGGCAUCAGUAAUGAUGGGUAGGGGAGCUUCCCAUACGGGUUGAAGCAUGACCGUAAGGACAUGUGGACAGUAUGGGAGUGAGAAUGUUGGCAUGAGUAGCGAGAUGUGGGUGAGAAUCCCACAGGCCGUAAACCCAAGGUUUCCAGGGGAAGGUUCGUCCGCCCUGGGUUAGUCGGGACCUAAGCUGAGGCCGAAAGGCGUAGGUGAUGGACAACAGGUUGAUAUUCCUGUACUACCGAUAACCGUUUGAGAGAAGGGAUGACACAGUAGGAUAAGCUAAGCACACUGUUGGUUAUGUGUGCCCAAGCAUUGAGGCAGUCAAAGUAGGCAAAUCCGCUUUGAUAAUGCUGGGAUGUGAUGGGGAGCGAAAUUUAGUAGCGAAGUAGCUGAUUUCACACUGUCAAGAAAAGUCUCUAUCGAGGUUAAAGGUACCCGUACCGCAAACCGACACAGGUGGGUGAGGAGAGUAUCCUAAGGCCAGCGAGAGAACUGUUGUUAAGGAACUCGGCAAAAUGACCCCGUAACUUAGGGAUAAGGGGUGCCACCAUCAGGUGGCCGCAGAGAAUAGGCCCAAGCGACUGUUUACCAAAAACAUAGGUUUCUGCUAAGUCGCAAGACGAUGUAUAGGAGCUGACGCCUGCCCGGUGCUGGAAGGUUAAGGGGAUCUGUUAGAGCAAUCGAAGCAGUGAACUUAAGCCCCAGUAAACGGCGGCCGUAACUAUAACGGUCCUAAGGUAGCGAAAUUCCUUGUCGGGUAAGUUCCGACCCGCACGAAAGGCGUAACGAUUUGGGCACUGUCUCAACAACAGACUCGGUGAAAUUGUAAUUCCGGUGAAGAUGCCGGAUACCUGCGACAGGACGGAAAGACCCCAUGGAGCUUUACUGUAGCUUGACAUUGGGUCUUGGUACUACAUGUACAGGAUAGGUGGGAGGCUUUGAAACCAGGACGCCAGUUUUGGCGGAGCCAUCCUUGGGAUACCACCCUUGUAGUACUGGGACUCUAACCAUAGGCCAUGAAUCUGGUCUUGGGACACUGUCAGGUGGGCAGUUUGACUGGGGCGGUCGCCUCCCAAAAGGUAACGGAGGCGCUCAAAGGUUCUCUCAGUACGGUCGGAAAUCGUACGUAGAGUGUAAAGGCAAAAGAGAGCUUGAUUGCAAGACAUACAGGUCGAGCAAGGAUGAAAAUCGGACUUAGUGAUCCGGUGGUUCUGCGUGGAAGGGCCAUCGCUCAACGGAUAAAAGCUACCCUGGGGAUAACAGGCUUAUCUCCCCCAAGAGUCCACAUCGACGGGGAGGUUUGGCACCUCGAUGUCGGCUCAUCACAUCCUGGGGCUGUAGUAGGUCCCAAGGGUUGGGCUGUUCGCCCAUUAAAGUGGUACGCGAGCUGGGUUCAGAACGUCGUGAGACAGUUCGGUCCCUAUCCGUCGCAGGCGUAGGAAAUUUGAGAAGACCUGUCCUUAGUACGAGAGGACCGGGAUGGACGUACCUCUGGUGUACCAGUUGUCCUGCCAAGGGCAUGGCUGGGUAGCUAUGUACGGAAUGGAUAAGCGCUGAAAGCAUCUAAGCGCGAAGCCAACUUCAAGAUAAGAUUUCCCACCGUAAGGGUAAGACCCCAGAAAGACUAUCUGGUUGAUAGGUCGAAGGUGUAAGUGCAGCAAUGUAUUUAGCUUAUCGAUACUAAUAGGUCGAGGACUUGACCAA